rnacentral:misc_RNA from 1 species
AAAGUCGUAACAAGGUUUCCGUAGGUGAACCUGCGGAAGGAUCAUUACCGAGUGUGUCUUGCAAAAGACUCCUCCCACCCUUGUGUAUUUUGAUGCUGAUAAGCAGCUUCGGCGGGCCGUUUUGGCGGGAGCUGAUUUCUUUUUGAGAGCAGCGACCACAGAACAUUGGCCUUACAGCGGAUUUGUGUCCGCCGAAGGAACCCAACUCUUGAUAAUUUUGAAGUCUGAAAAAAACUUGAUAAUAAAUCAAAACUUUCAACAACGGAUCUCUUGGUUCUG